AGUGGCGGACGGGUGAGUAACGCGUGGGUAACCUGCCUCAUACAGGGGGAUAACAGUUAGAAAUGACUGCUAAUACCGCAUAAGACCACAGCACCGCAUGGUGUAGGGGUAAAAACUCCGGUGGUAUGAGAUGGACCCGCGUCUGAUUAGGUAGUUGGUGGGGUAACGGCCUACCAAGCCGACGAUCAAUAGCCGACCUGAGAGGGUGACCGGCCACAUUGGGACUGAGACACGGCCCAA
rnacentral:rRNA from 1 species